rnacentral:lncRNA from 1 species
UCUAGGUGUCAUGGACACUAACACAGAACAUGAAAUACGAAACACGACACGACUCGGAUACCACGAUUCGACAACUUUCAAAAAAUUAGAACACGGACACAACAUAGACACUGCUAAUAAAAUAUAAUAUUAUUAAUAUAAUAAUAUAUUUUUAUUAUAUAUAAAAUAUUAAUUUUAAUAAAAUAUUAUUAUAUUUCUCAUACGAGCGAAAGUUCGUAAAAUUUUCAUUGAUAGUUCAUACAUUUUAAGAAAAGAAAUUAUCCACUAUACAUAAUUUAUUUUAUUGACAAAAAAAAAAUUUGUAUGCAUUCAUUAAAAGACUAAAAUAUUUAUCAUCUUAUAUUACAUAUGCAUAGAAAAAAUAAAAUAAAUAUAUAUAUGGU